AGAACGAAGAAUAGUAUAUUAAGAUGGAGUUGUGCAAUCCAAGAAUAAUUCCCAAACUUGUUGAUCUUCAGAAUGGAGCUAUAUUGAACAAGUCAUUUCAACCACACGAAGCUCAUGUUCCUUAUAUUCUACAGAUAAAAAUCUUUCAUAUAAUAAUAAAUCAAUUCCACUUCAUGGUUCAUCUCCAAAUUCAUUUCUCAAUUUUCCUUCAUCUCAACACUGGAUUGAAGACACUAUUCCUAGAAAUUUAUGCCUGGAUCCAACUGUGAAAAAAGUCAGUCGUUGUGAACUUGAAGUUGAUGUAAUUGCUGAAGACAUCUUGAAUCAAAUAAUGUUGAAAGUUGUAUUGGUCAUAAUCCUGGUAUAACUGCUAUGUGGGAAGAUGAAAGACAACGAAGACGAGAUAUUGGACUAUCUUCACAAGUUGCUCUUCCUGUUUCACAAGAAUCAAAAUCAAAAUGUUUCCUGAUUUUAUCGAAAAUACUCAAAAUAUCUGUGAUGCCAAAAACAACUGUUGACAGACUUCCCAGUCUCAGUGACAACGUCUUUGAAUUUUAUGACAUUGUGUCAACAUGGAUUUUAAUGUCGUGCAGCGCACUCGUUUAGAAAGUAAAGAUCAGUAAAGAUUAAGCUUGGAAAUAUUCUUCAAUUUAUGUGGUGGUAAAUUUCUGGACUUCUAUUCACCUAAC